CCUUUCUCAGCUCCACUGAAUCACACAGGCCCAUUGUGUACCUGGCCUAUUCUAAAGGAAUGAGAGGAAGGCUGUCCUAUGCCCUGAAGACCUGUCCCAAAGUGGACUCUCAGUUGCUAGGAGUUCAAUGGCU
ensembl:snoRNA